UAGAGUUUGAUCCUGGCUCAGGAUAAACGCUGGCGGCGUGCCUAACACAUGCAAGUCGCACGUCCUCUUCUUCUUCGGAGGAAGAGGGAGUGGCGCACGGGUGAGUAACACGUGGGAACCUGCCCUCAGGUGAGGAAUACCACCGGGAAACCGGUGACAAGACCGCAUAGGCUCCCGAUGGGGAGCAAAGCGCUUUCGCGAGAAAGGGCGCCUGGGGAUGGGCCUGCGGCCGAUUAGCUAGCUGGUGGGGUAAAGGCCUACCAGGGCGACGAUCGGUAGCUGGUCUGAGAGGACGAGCAGCCACACUGGGAUUGAGAACGGCCCAGACUCCUACGGGGGGCAGCAGUGAGGAAUUUUCGGCAAUGGGCGCAAGCCUGACCGAGCAACGCCGCGUGCAGGAAGACGGCCUUCGGGUUGUAAACUGCUUUUCCCAGGGACGAGGAAGGACGGUACCUGGGGAAUCAGCUCCGGCUAACUACGUGCCAGCAGCCGCGGUAAGACGUAGGGAGCAAGCGUUGUCCGGAGUAACUGGGCGUAAAGGGCACGCAGGCGGUGCGCCGCGUUGCCACUGACAGCUGUCGGCUUCACUGACGGAGGAGUGGCAAAACGGGGGCACUUGAGCCUCAGAGAGGGAGACGGAAUUCCGCGUGGAGCGGUGAAAUGCGUAGAGAUGCGGAAGAACACCAAAGGCGAAGGCAGUCUCCUGGCUGAGAGCUGACGCUCAGGUGCGAAAGCCAGGGGAGCGAACAGGAUUAGAUACCCUGGUAGUCCUGGCGGUAAACGAUGACCACGAGAUAUGCGGGGGAUCGACCCCCUGCGUGUCGGCGCUAACGCAGUAAGUGGUCCGCCUGGGGAGUACGGUCGCAAGAUUAAAACUCAAAGGAAUUGACGGGGACCCGCACAAGCAGCGGAGCGUGUGGUUUAAUUCGAUGCAACGCGAAGAACCUUACCAGGGCUUGACAUGGCGUUGAACGCGCGAGCAAUCGCGUUCCCCUCGGGGCAGCGUCACAGGUGCUGCAUGGCUGUCGUCAGCUCGUGCCGUGAGGUGUUGGGUUAAGUCCCGCAACGAGCGCAACCCCUGUCGCCGGUUGGUAUAUCCGGCGAGACUGCCGCGAUCAACGUGGAGGAAGGUGGGGAUGAUGUCAAGUCAGCACGGCCCUGACGUCCUGGGCGACACACACGCUACAAUGGCGUCGACAAUGAGAAGCCAACCCGCGAGGGGGAGCCAAUCUCAGCAAACGGCGUCUCAGUUCGGAUUGCAGGCUGCAACCCGCCUGCAUGAAGUCGGAGUUGCUAGUAACCGGAAGUCAGCACAUUCCGGUGAAUACGUUCCCGGGUCUUGUACACACCGCCCGUCACACCACGAAAGUCGGUCAUACCUGAAGCCCUCGGGCUAACCCUGCGGGGAGGCAGAGGUCGAGGGUGGGGCUGGUGAUUGGGGUGAAGUCGUAACAAGGUAGCCGUA
rnacentral:rRNA from 1 species